rnacentral:rRNA from 1 species
UACAGAGGGGGCAAGCGUUGUUCGGAAUUACUGGGCGUAAAGGGCGCGUAGGCGGCCUGUUAAGUCGAACGUGAAAUCCCCGGGCUCAACCCGGGAACUGCGUCCGAUACUGGCAGGCUUGAAUUCGGGAGAGGGAUGUGGAACUGCGAGUGUAGAGGUGAAAUUCGUAGAUAUUCGCAAGAACACCAGUGGCGAAGGCGGCUCACUGGCCCGAUACUGACGCUGAGGCACGAAAGCGUGGGGAGCAAACAGG